UGAACUGUUAUAAAAGGCCAUACAUCGGUUUUGCAAAGUGAAGAUGUGUUGCUUUUCAUCUACUGCUAGUUAGUUUCAUGUAGGAAACGAAAGCCUGAGGGAGCGACGCCGCGUGGAGAAGAAAAGAUGAGGUGAAUUCAGAUAGCAGCUGCUGAUGUCGUCCAGCUCAAGGGCGCAAACCGAGGCUAUACUAGAUGGAAUUUUUGGUCUGGAAAGCUUCGAGUAUAUAAGAAAGAAAAAUAACCAACGAGUAUAUGAACUAGUACUCCUAACUAGCGACAAUAUUGUGCCGGGAUCAACAGCUAAUAAUUAUUAAACUCUCAAGACCUGAACUAAAUCUUAUCAUCGACGAAAACCUCGAGCAACCAGCAAAGCCUCAACCUACUUUGGCAUCUCAUCAAUCAAACGAAAUCUAGCAACGAUCGACGAUGGUCUUGAUGGGGCCGAUGUUGGGCUCGCCGAAGAGGGCCACGCCCUGGCGGGUCCUGAGCGUCNNNNN
rnacentral:lncRNA from 1 species